UUUAGGAGUGAGAUUUAAAUAAAUAAAAUAAUUGACAAAAUUAUUGUUAGAGAAAUAUAUGGUAACAUAUUGUUAGUAUAAAUUUAAGGUAAGACCAAAAAAUAAUAAGUUAAAUGAAAGGGUCCAAACAACUUUUAUAGGUAGAUUUUUUUUAGACUCCUUCCCUUUUAAUAGUAUUGAUUUUUUUAUGAGCAAUUGCACCUGAUAUACACGGAAAAAAGAUUAAUUCGUCGGCUGGUUAUGUACUGUUUGAGGUUCUAUAUAUUCCAAAAAUAGCCCUAUAUAUAGGUGUUCGUACUCUGUAUCGGCUACGAUAUAGGGAGCUAGAAAUUCAAGAUGUUGCUUUAAUAAUGAAUGUUGUCUACUGUAGCAAGUUAUAGAAUAUAUCGAACACUGCAAACAAUCCAGCUUCUCCAUUAUAUCUCACAUUACUAAAGUAAGAAGAACAUUUUUGCGGAGUCUAUGAAGAACACCUCUCGAUUAAUUACCGGAAGAAGAUUCUUGUAGUUAUGGUUUCCGCACGGCUUGUUGACUGUUCAGAAGAACCUGAAGAACCAGACAUGCAAAAAAUUCCGGAGAUGAUGUUUGCCGCCGGCGAAGAACCAGUUGGGGUUCGAAUUCUUACUUAUCAAUCAUCCACUACUCCACAACGCAUCUUAAAUGCGUUAGACGAAGAGGAGGUUGAUAUUAUUAGGCGAUCUUCAAAUUUGGGAAGUUGAUAGAGAUAGCAGACAAACCCGUAUUUUCCGGAAGAUUUGCGCGAUAUAUGUUAUCAAGGCAGCUGAAGACAAAGAAGAAGCAUGAAACUUGGUUCCGAUUUGCAGGUAAACCGGUAAGGUUUUCUAUUAGAAAAUUUGCGAUUGUGACGGGAUUACCUUGUGGGAAUUUCCCGCAGAAGUCAAAGAUGAAGUUGAAGGCAACAAUAGCGGAGCAACCUUAUUGGCCAUGUUUAUUUGGAAAAGUUGAAGUGGUUACAGUGUCCUCUGUUAUAAAGAUGCUCUACCGCAAAACAGUUAAAGACAGAGACAUCCGUAUUAGAUAUGCAUGCUUGGCGUUGCUUGAAUCAGUUCUUCUUCCAACUAGUCUUAAUAUGAAGAUAUCUAGAGAUCAUGUUGAAGCUAUUAAAGAUCUAGAUGCCUUUUUUUUCGUUUCCUUGGGGACGGGUAGCAUUUGAUAUGCUGAUGGCUAGUAUCAAAGAGAGAGAUGAGAUAGCUUUGUCUCAAAACACUAUCGCAUUAAAAGGAUUUGCUCUUGCAAUACAGCUUGUAAUGGUUGCAGCGGUUCCGGCGUUGACUGAGGUUGUGCAAGAUUCGUGUUCUUCAUCUGAUUCUGAUAGUGAAGAUAUUGAUGGAAGUGGGCGAGAUAUUUUUACAAAGAAACGGACUCUCAAUCCGGCACAUGCACGGAAUUUGGACAAGAGAACUGAUGUAAGUCAUUUUAUCUCCCAAUAUUAGUUGUUUCUUGUCUAUAUAUAGUAGGAACUUGCAAUUGGUCAUAUAUCUUAUAUUAGUUCUUAUUUCAUAUUUGGUUACAAAUUGAUUAAUGUAGCCCUACUGAAUAACAUAUUUUUGUUUGUGUGAAGGUUAUUGUUCAUAGCAUCUUGGUUCAAGAUCCAGAGCGACCUAUUGAUGAGGCCAUUAUAGUUCGGCAUGAUGAAGUUCAUGAUUCAAGAGUUGAUAACUUGGUCGAGGCCAUCAGGCGUAACUAUCAAUUCAAUAAUUCGUGUUUCCUCGGUGGGAUUAGAAAGAUUGAUGUUGUUCAUAUGCGAGAAAAGGUCAAAUCAUCUGCAAAGUGUAAGAGACCAAAGAAGGGUAUUACUACUUCGUCGGAAGCUGAGAACAGUGUCAUCGUUGACCUUGUGCUUGACAAAAUCAAACCUCAGAUUGAUGUACUGGAAUCCAACAUUAAGAUAGGUUCAUCUCGUGUUGAUGCCAUAGAGGGGGGUGUUCGUAAACAAGUUGAGACGUUGUUGGGUAAGUUUAAGGGGGAAAUGCUUUCAUCUCUUAAGGAUAUCGUUUCAGAAGUUUGUAAAGACCACCUUGCUGCGCAUAACGGCCCGGGAAAUGAUCAACCGUCUUCUCCGACAAAUUUAAUCGUUCCCGGAUGUCAUACCAGCCAUGUUGCCGACGCAAAUGCAAAGACAAUCGAAAACGUUCUACGUGACAUUAGUCAAUACUCUACACCUCCCCGCUCGAACCGUAUAUGUGAGGUAUCAAUUAUGUUCACAUAAUUUUUUGGAAAUUUGUAUAACCGUUUAUUUCAUGUCUUAUGAACUAACAACUUAUUUUUAUAACAUUCAGUCCGUUAAUACUACUCCGACGAAGAAACAACAGGUUGAAUCCGACAAUGUAUGUGGAACUCCGGUAAUUCAGUCAGGUGCGCAAUCAGCUAAUAGCGAGAAUCGAUCGAGGCAACAGUCAUUCCAACAAAAGUUGGUAAGAUGUUUGAACUGUUAUCGGAUUGACUUAGUGAUCUAUAUUAUAUGGUAGAAUUGUUUUAAUUUAUUACAUUUAUUGUUCUUCUAAAUCAGACUCCGCAAAAUAACAAAGAUAACAUUGCGGAUGAACCUUCCUUUUCGCGUGGUCUAACUCAGGAUGAACAGAUUCAAGAAGACAUCCCUAUUUUCGGACAAACUUGUCCUGACCAUGUACAGUUGUCUCACACGAAUGUGGAUGACAAUAUAGAAGGAAUUUCAUCGUCACGUAGAAGUAAGAGGCAAAAGACGGUUCCAUCAGGUCUUGUAGAGGAUUACCUUUGUGGGCCUCAUUUAUUGUCAAGGGCUAAGGAAUCUCAGAGGAGCAUAUUUGCGAUACUUGAUAUUUCAGAGUUGGUAAGGAAGUUCACGAAUCUGGAGUCCAAAAUGAAGUCAAAUUUGUAAUUUUUGUUCGUUCUUUGCAUUAACAUCAGUUGGAAAUAUUGAAUAUAUUACUAAAUGUUCUUUGCUUUUGGUUUUUAGUGUGAUCAACGUUUCUGGUUUAGCUGUGUCUAGAAGGGAAAUUCUGCUAAUUUGUGAGAGGCAAUGAAAUUACACUGCCAAGGUUGUUGAUAUUCUUAUUAGAGUUUUACGGUCGGUUAUUUUGGAUCAGUUACCUUCCGAAGGUUCAUAGAGUGCUGAGUUUCUUGAUACCAAGUUUGGUUCUGCUAUAAUGAAGAACUUUCCCAGGUUCCUUAAGAGUAAGAACAAGGAGUCCUACAUAUUUCCAAAAUCAUUGAGUGGUAUUUUCCCAACCAAAGAAGCUCCAAAGGUUAAUCCAAGAAAGUAUUAUUUUCCUUUAAAUGUUGGGAACAAACAUUGGGUUGGUAUUUGUUUUGACGCUGUGUGUGGGACUGUCACCAUCCUAGAUUCAUGCUUGGCAUUGCACAAGCAGAAGGCGUUAGAGAAGAUAAUUACCCCUGUCAUACAAAUGUUACCGUAUCUUGCUAGAUAUGCUUCUCUUGACAUUGAAACUGAUCCGGUUAUUCAGUGUUAUGAUGUUGCUAGGCCAAAAUCAGUCGCCCAGAUUAAGAAUGAAGCCGAUUCUGGUUUGAUGUCUUUGCUCUUUAUGGCGAGGCACGCUUUAUAUGGACCAGAAGCUUGUAAGAAUAUUGGUGAUGAUGUGCUCGUAGAGGAAAGUAAGAGUGCAGCAAUACUGGCGUAUGAGUUCAAGGAAAAGUUAUAGGGUAUGCUUGAUGCUGAAGUGUUUGUUUUUCUAAGUUUCCUUUUUAAUUCUUGUAAUGAGUUGGACUUGUAUAAUUGAGACAACUUGUAUGUAAUAUGUUGCUUGUGUACGUUUUCUUUGGACUUUCAAACUCUGUUAUGUUCUUGAACUAUUUUCAUGUAUUAUAUUUGGCUGUGUUAAAUAAUUUUUUUUAAUACAUUUCAAAUUGUUCUCGAAAAAGCUAUAAUUUAACAUUAUUGUAUAAAUGGGAAGUAAUCCGGUUUUAAUAUUUGGUUUUUUUAGUUCAGUUACCUGAUUAAGCCAUAAGAACAUCCUAUUUAUGUUAUUAGAGGAAAAUAUUCUUAGUUUUGAUGUUGGAAAUACGACAACAAGUGUUGUUGUUGAUGUUUACAAGUAGUGCACGCGUAUAGAAAGUUGUGUGAGUUGUCUUAUCUUUCCUACACAAUUUUCAGCUAUGUGUCGUGUUCUAUGAAGUAUCGAAUAUCAUCAUCAUACCUAUAGUAGAGUAGGCAACUUUGUCCUUCAAUUAUUUUUGUGGAUGAAUUAUUGGUUUAUCUUAUCCAUGGACUUGUUACCACAAUUCGUCUAUAUAUUUCGAUACUUGUUUACAAGUUAUCAUCCAUUUACUUACGGUCAGAAGGGAGCAGUGGAAUAGAUUAAUAUUGUUAAAAAUUUUGGUUUAAAUACUUGUAACAAACUCGGUUUCUAAUUCCUCCUUUUUAUUUUCUAGAUGGCAAUUCCACUGAGUGUAACUUUACAUCACGGUGCAUGGCGUCGUGCCGACGAUGGACAUUGGACUUUCCAUAGGAACCCAAGUGAUCUCGGCUAUACGGUUAUGGUCAAACCAACUGAGACGGUGGAAGAUUUGGAGACCAUUAUCCGUGAACGCUAUAAAUUGAAGCCUGAGACACCCAUGGUACUGGCCUAUCACCUACCUGAAUGGAUGCUUGAACCUGAGGGAACUCGUACACCGCCUAUUACAUUGACAACUACGCCACAAGUUGAAACGAUGAUGCAAAUCCGUUCUUGGUGGUCUGAACUAAAGCUAUGUGUUUCUUCGGGUGCUGAAAAUGUGGCUCAUUACCAGUUUCUUAGUCAAAAUACUUUCACUAUAAGUGGUGCAACCUUUGUAUUCAAAGGUUAGAUAUAUAGAACUUAUAUAUUGAUACUUUCUAUUAGCCAAUAUUAAAAAAGUACAUUUAUUAAAAAAAUCGUUUUCCUAGGUUAUAACGAGAAAGAGCUUCUUGUAAGCAAGGAGGUCCUUGAGGAAUGUUUUAAAGAGGAAGAGAUGGUUCCAAUCUACAGGGUUCAUUUAGAAAUUGAGAAGGCAAAAUCCGAAGAAAGAGGUGCGCAAGGUUUGCCUUCCAUGGCUACAGAAGCUGAAGGUUUAAAACAUUUUAUAUGUUAAUAUUAAUUUGUAAGUUUGGUUUUUUAAUAACUGGCUAACACUAUAUUUGGUUAGGUUCGGGAUCUUUUCCCUCUGGGUCACAAGGGUAGAAGUUGAGGUGGUGAAUGUGUCUGAAACACUUUCGGAAGAAUAAGCAUGCUACUAUGGUUUGCGAAUGAAGUUGUAUUUCCUUUCAUCUUGUUAUCUGAAUAAAUGUUGGUUGUUGUUCUUAAGUUUCUAAAUUCCGUGGUUUCUUUAUUGGUAUGUUUAAAAUUUCUAAUGUAAUGUAUGCUGGAAAUAUUUAUGUAACAUAUUUGAAAAUCGUGUUUACUAAUUGUCAGUUUGGAAUGUAAUAUAUUUUAUGAAACCAGAAUAUGAACUGCAACUCUAUAGUAAACGACUAAUAUAGGACCGUCCUAAAAUAUAGAAUAUCGUUUAAUAUGCAUCAGUUUUGAACGACACUAUUAUUUGAUCACCUAUGAAAUUACUGGUGCAUGUCUAUAGUAUAGGACUCAUUAUGGUAAUAUCAUGUUGUUGUAUUAGUUUAAUUGGAAACCGGAAAACAUACCAUUCUUAUUAAGGUGUAGAACUCUUUUAAACAAUUACCAAUUAUUCACACCAAUAUGAAUAUUUGGGUCGAUAGAUUGGGAAGUUACUUGUUACGAUGAAUACUACACAUUUGUGCUAUGCUAUAAUAUAUAGUUAUUCUCACAUAUCAUAUAAUAUUACAAAGCUCGCUAUAAAACUUAGGCUUUCGUACUAAAUUCCCAUAUACUGGAUAUGAUUCACUAUAUGUCAUUGUCUAUUAGCUAUAAUAGCCGAUGGUUUUCUUAUCUAUAUUUUCAUCUUAUCAACUUGAACGAAACAAAGGGUACGUCAGUUACUAUACAUAGGAGUCUUUAACGACUUAUAUAUUUCAAACUUAGACAUUGGCUUUUAUUUAUUUCAUAAUCUCGGGAACAAGUACAAACCUGCCUCUAACCGAUCAUGGAUACAAAUAUUUUACAAAAGCAUGUUUAACGUUUUUUAGUAUUUCACAAUCCACCAUUCUUAUCAAACACCUUCAUCAUCCGAGAUAAGCCAACUUUAACUUCAUGCACAUUCUUUUUAUAUUGCCACUUUGCAUGUGGCUUUGUUAUGACCCACGCCUUUACAACGGCUACACACAUGUCUCUUCCUUGGAGUCUUCAUCUACGAAAAACAAAUUGUGUAAGACUUUCAUUUUAUUUGAAUAGUUGAAGGUAAGCUGCUUACCCUUAUUUCUCCAGUAGACAAGAUCCGGCUUUUCCGAGGUCUCCCUGGUGGACGACGACUUGUGGGUGGGCAUAUUUGGAUGGACUCACUUUCACCUUCUGUCCCUUCGAUACUUGGAUUGACCUCGCUGCUUAUAGGCAAUAUAUUCCCGGCAUAUGCAGCAACUAGAGUGUCCAUUGUGUAAAAAUUGGAAACCAGCGAUUCAAUACUUGAUUUCUCUUUGAUUGCCGCCGCAAUGGCAUGGGGGCAAGGAAUGAGGAGCGUCUGAAAUGAGAAACAGCUGCAAGAUUUGGUGUGUAGGUUAACAUGGUAAGAUAUUCCGUCUUUGUCGUUUACAUCGAACUCACCAGCGUUAAUCUGGCAAACAAGCAUCCCACCGCUGAUUUCAAAAUUUUCUUCAACAAUACUGGUCACACGUGGAGUUAACAUACGAUUCGGAUGUUGUGUUACAUCACGUCUUUCUGCGUACCAUUUCAUCCGUUUAGAACAGAUGUACUCGACCAAAUGUAGUAUCGGAUACUCUCUUGCAUUUCGAAGAACAGAAUUCCAUGUCUCUGCUACAUUGCUUGUCAUGAGGUUGUACCGAUUUCCGGAGCAAUUAGCACGGGCCCAGUGCUCUAAACCGAUAUCUAGUAGGUAUUCAGCACAUGAAGGAUUGAUGUUCUUAAUUUCAUUGAAGGUUGUGUAAAAUUCGCUGAGUUGAAAGGCCCUGGCUGCCUUGCCCACCAAGUAACCGAGAUGUUUGUUUAUGAAAUAAGUUUGGAUGUUGCGUUUCAGAUGUAAAAUACAAGCGCAAUGCUUUGCUGCUGGAUACACCUUCAACCAUAUACAAUACAAAUUCAUAUUAUUAUUUGUUACCAAUAAACAUGUUUU